rnacentral:lncRNA from 1 species
AAGAGACGAAACAGAGAAAGAAACAGAGAGCAAAACAGGCAGAGAAGGAAGGAAAGAAAGAAAGAAAGAAAAAGAAAAAGGGAAAUUUAAGGUUUUAAGGUUCCAAGCUCAAUUGGUAAGUUAAAUUAAGUCUUUUUCUUAUAAUUUUUGAGUUUUUGGAAUCCUAGAGAUAAAUACUACUUGAUUUAUGUUGAUAUUUUGAAAGUUAGUAGAUUGUUAGACAUGAGUUAUGUUGAAUUAAUUGAUGAACUAGAGGUUAAAAUGAUUGAAUUUUAAGUUAGAAAUUAGUAAAAGAUUGAUUUGUAAAAUAAAAUAUAAGUUUUGAAUUGAUAGGGAUUAAAUUGAAAGAAUCCCGAAAUUAGGGAUUUAUGGGGAAAUUGAAGAAUUAAACUGAGUUUAUAGUAAGAAUUAAGAGAGAAUAUAGAGUUAGAAUGGAAAAAUAAAAUUAGUAUUGAUAAGGGAUUAAAUUAGAAUUUGGGUAAAGUUUAGGUAUACGGGAAAUAUUUUAAUGAAAUUGUGUAUUAAUGAUUUUUAAUUGUUUAAUUACGUAGCUAAUGUCGUGCACGAGUCAUUGUCCGAGAAAGGAAAGGAGAAAGUGGACAAGGAGUGACUCGAGAGAAAUUCCGGUUAGUAUUACUAUAAUUCGAAUUUAAUUAUUAAUUGUUAAAAUUUAAAUUAAUAUACAUGAUAAGCAAAUUGAGGUAAGCAUCACGACUGAAUUGAAUGAUAAAUACGUAUUGGUAUUAAAUUUAUUAAUAGCAAUUGUUGAAUUUUGAAUAAUAUGUUUAGUUAAUAAAAAAAAUGAAUAUUGAUAUUGAAUUGUACAUGAAUUUGAUUGGAAAAUGAAUUAAAAAAUAUAUAUAUGAAUGGAAUAAAAGUGAAUUAAAUUGUGAAUAAGUGUGAUAUAUGUGAAUUGCGGAAUAAGUAGUAAAUUGUAAUGACGAAGAAAUGAUAAAUCCUUUUUGAAAUAAUUCUAUAAAGUAUUUAAAUAAAUGAGAUUCAUAUUUAAUGCCCAAGUAGAUGGAAUUUAGAACUACCAGGAUAUUAGUGGCAUGCCAUUAAGGAACUUAUUAAGGAGCUUUAGUGUGCUCUCUGAUUAUUAGCACGUUGGUGCUCUCUGAUUAUUAGCACGUUUGUGCUCUCUGAUAUUUAGCACGUCAGUGCUCUUUGUUUAGCACAUUCGUGCUCUCUGUAUUUGAUCCGUAUAUCCGGGGUGUUCUGUAAAAUCUACUUUGGGCUAAGAUUAUAAGCUGUGGACAAAAGUGAAUCAUUAAUGUGUUAAGGUAAGUCUUAUAAAGUUUAUAUGUACCGUUUUAGGCAUAAUGUGCCGUAUUGGUGUGUUUUGGUUGGAUCCGUGUAUCCGCCAAGAUCUGAGUCAAGUUAAUAGGGGUAAAUGAAUAAUUUUGAUAAUAUAAAUUUUUAUUGAAUGAUCUUGAAUAUGAAUUGAAAUAGCUAUUGUUAAGAAGUGAGAAGUGAAAAUAAAAUAAUUUGAAAGAGUGAAAUAAUAUGUGAAUUUAACUGAAUACAAGUUAUUGAAAUUUAGUUAUGGAUUUAAUGAAUAAAUUGAGUGUUAAAAGAUUUAAAGUACAUAUUGAUUAUAAAUAGAAAUGAUAUAUGAAAUGAAAGAUUAUUGAGUCUAUUUUUAUAGAAAAAUAACGGUUUAGCAAAAAGAAAUUUAUAUUUUAAGAUAUGUGAAUUUUAGUGAGAAAUGGUCAGAUCUAUUUCUGGAGUCCCCUGUUCCGAGUUUAGAAAAUCACUAAAAAUGGUAUAAAAAUAUUUAUGAGUUGUAGUUUAUAUGUGUAGAAUCCUUAUUGAGUCUAUUUUCUAUAGAAAUAAGUGGUAAUAUCAUAUGAAAAUCCUAUAAUGAGAAAAUUUAUUUUUAGUACCAAGGGGUCAGGACAGUCGAGUGAAGAAACAUGGGAGAAUUUAACUAAUAAACUGUACUAAUUGGUCAAACCAAGAAUUCUGAAAAUUUUAUGGUAGAAAGAUAUAUGAGUCUAGUUUCAGGAAAAAUUUACGAAAUUAAAUUUGGAGUUCCGUAGCUCGAGUUAUAAUCAAUUUAGUAACUGCUGCGCGAUUGGACAGAUUACUAUAAACAGUGAAAUUAAUUUUUAAAACGAAUUUUUAUGCCCCGAAUUAGUAAGAUAAGCUAAGUAAUGCCUCGUACUCGAUUCCGGCAACGGUCUCGGGUAAGGGGUGUUACAACAUCACUAAUUUAUAGUAAAUAAUUGAAUUUUAUUCAAUUUAUACCCUAAUUCCAAUUUAAUCCUAAUUAACUCAUUUACUUUUCUAACUCAAUUCAUACUUUAUUUCUAUUCAAUUUCCUUCCAUAUUCUACUUAACUAUCUAAUGUUCAUAAUAAAAUCCUAAUUUAAAACUUCUUUCAAUUUAAUCUCUACAACACAAAACUUAUAGUUUCUUUUACAAUUUAAUCCCUUAAUCAAUUCUAACUAGAAAUUCUAUCAAUUAAACCCCUAAUUCAUCAUUUUGUUCAACAUAAAUUAUAUUCAAAAACCUAAGAACUUUCAAAACUUUAACUUAAAUUCAACAAAAUCUUAUUCUAAAGCUUCUAAAACAUCAAAAUUAAGAGAAAAUGACUUAAUUUGACUUACCUAUUAAAGCUUUAAACCUUCAAACUCUAGUUUUUUCUUUCUUUCUUUUCUCCCUGUUUCGUUCUCUGUUUUGUUUCUUUGUUUCUUUUUCUUUCAUUUAUUUUGUUUAAUUUUUAGUUAUUAUAAUAAUAUAAUAUAAUACAUAUAUACUUAAAUAUUAAGUAAUACAUGUUUUAUUAAUAUAUAUAUGUAUAUUAUUUUUAAACAUAUAAUUACUAUUACCAUACACUUGUCUAUUAGCAUCACUAUUAUUUUUAUUAAUUCAAUAUUUUAAUAUAAAAAUUCGAAUCCGUCAACUCAUAUUCAGGGGUACCUAUUAGAGCACAUAAUCAGGAAGCACUCUCUCGAGCCAUAUAACAGGAUGCUCAUGUGAGCCAUGUAACAGGAAGCUUAUCCGAGCUAUAACAGGAAGCUCAUUAAGCUUAACAGGUAACUCCGGAUAGCCAUAUAACAGGAAGUUCAAGCGAACCACAUCAGGAAGCUCACAAGGAGCCUAUAUCAUGACGCUCAUAAAUAGCUGCGGUAUGUCCGCAUUAUAUGUAGGAUCCAUACCGAUCUUAUAACAUUACGCUCACAAAGAGUUGCGGUAUGACUGUAACACAUGCAUGGUUAAUACCGAUUGGGAUGCUCGCAAGAACUAUAUAAUGGGAAGCUCGAGAGAGCUUAUAACAGGAUGCUCGUAAGAGCUAUGGUGUGUCCGCAACAUAUGCAGAACCACAACCAAUAUGGGAAAUCCUGUUUCCAUCGAAUUUCAUUAAUUCAAACAGGACAUAUUACUUAUCAGGCAUUAUUGAACAUGCGAUCAAUUUCAUAUUUUCAUAGCAUUUAUACAAUUCACAUAUACACGACGUUCAAUUCAAACAUAUAAAUAUACACAAAUAUAUCAGGAAG